GCCGAUUGCUAUUGAGCCCCGCAGGAAAUCCUGCAGUCAAUACGGGGGAUGUGUGUCAGCGUGGUGCGCGCCGCCAGCACGCAGUUGUGGCCCGACACUCUGCCCAGACGGACGCGACGCGACGCGACGCGGCGUGGGAGAUCCCGCGCCGCAGGUCACGCACGAGGCGAGCGGCGAGGGACGCCGGUCGCGGCGGGGUUCAUGAACGUUUCCAAUACCCACGGCAAACAGCUGCCGGCUUGCGUCGGAAGACUCAGUACUGGCAGAUGUCUACAUGCAACCGGUUCGAACUCACGGUGCACCUCAGUGCCCAACGCUGAUUUCCUAUAGUCGCCAGUCUUGACAGACGAGUACCUUUCUGGAGGAUCUCGAGGUGCUCCCAGAGGAUGUCGCCCAUGAAGGGCGGCGUUCUGGCGAGGAAGGCCUCCUUGCCCAUGUUGCAGAUGUCCUUGCCGCGCAUGUGCAGGUGCUGCAUGGUGACGCCCUCCAGCGAGAACUCGCGGAUGGCCCACGACAACCAGUGAGCCACCUGCGCCUCCGACCAUUGCCUCGGGUCUGCAACACAGCGCAACCAACGUUUCAGUUAGCACGUUAUCAUGCGAUUCUGACACUAGCCCACGUUGCUGUCGACGGAAUGUAGCUGAGUCAACCUGAGCUAAAGGAAAUUGGUAAAGAGAUCCAGUUGUGGCAAAGAUACUGAAGAUACUCGUAGUCGAUGUGGUGAGGAAUGACUGCGAGCCGAUAACAGCAAACACAGUGCUCCUGCUUCCUUAGCCAGCAAGGUUCGCCAUAAUGGACCGUGAAGUAGAUGUCAGGUUGCGACAACGGUCAGUGAUGGAGUUCCUCUUCAAGACCGGCGAUGACUGCCAUAUCGAUUCACAGUAAAUUGCUCCCUAUUUAUGGGGCGGACACGGUGGAUCGCAGCAGUAUCCAGCGGUGGUUGCAGAGGGUUUAAAGAAGGUGAUUUCUCUCUACUGUACAAUCCACGAUGCGGUAGACCAUCGACGGCAGUGAGUGAUGUGAAUAACGAGACCAUUGAUCAAAUCAUCCAAAAUGACAAAUGUGUGACGACACGGCAGCUUGCUGAAAUAACUCGUUUGUCAUUGGGUGGUGUGGUAUCACUGGUAUGGUCACUAGGGUACAGAAAAAUCUGUGGACGUUGGGUGCCUAGAUUAUUGACAAGAGAAAUGAAAACGACGAGGAAGAAUAAGUCUGAGGGUCUCAUGAAGACUUUUACUGAAGAGUGGAAAAGUGUUUUGAAGGCGUCAUCACCCAGGAUGAAACAUGGUUGUUUUUGUCCGAACCUGAGAGCAAAGCCCAAUCCAUGGAGUGGUGUCAUCCGGGUUCCCCUCGGAAGAAAAGACCAAGACUUUCACGAACAGCAGGACGAAAGGUGAUGGCCCCCGUCUUCUGGGAUCAGUGUGAUAUUUUCAUUGAAUUUUUGGAACCUGGCUCCACAAUUAACCGGGACCGUUACUGUUCGUCGUUGGACAAGCUGCGACGUGCCAUCAAGACCCACA